AGAGUUUGAUUCUGGCUCAGAACGAACGCUGGCGGCAGGUCUUAGGCAUGCAAGUCGAACGGGUGUAGCAAUACAUCAGUGGCGCACGAGUGAGUAACGCGUGGGAAGCCUACCCAUCACUGGGGGAAUAACGUUUGGAAACGAACGCUAAUACCGCAUACGCCCGAAAGGGGAAAGAUUUAUCGGUGAUGGAUGGUGCCCGCGUUGGAUUAGCUUGUUGGUGGGUAACGGCCUACCAAGGCGAUGAUCCAUAGCUGGUCUGAGAGGACGAUCAGCCACGCUGGGACUGAGACACGGCCCAGACUCCUACGGGAGGCAGCAGCUAAGAAUAUUGGACAAUGGGGGGAAACCCUGAUCCAGCCCAUGCCGCGUGAAUGAAGAAGGCCUUCGGGUUGUAAAGUUCUUUUAGUAGUGAAGAUGAUGACAGUAGCUACAGAAAAAGCACCGGCUAACUUCGUGCCAGCCGCAGC
rnacentral:rRNA from 1 species